rnacentral:lncRNA from 1 species
GCUACAUGAUACAGCUUCACAAUCACUUUGAGGGGUGGGCUUUAAUGAGAAGCCUCUGUUGCAUGGGAACUGGAAAUCAUGAGAAUUAUUUUUGCAUCAAGAAGGGACUAAAAUUAAUUAUUAGAAGCUCAGUAAUCACCAAAUAAACUCAGAGCUUUGAGGUUAAAAACAGACGACUAUCUCCAUGUUCAAUUAUACAGUAUCAAUUACUAAUACAACCGACGUUUCAGUGUCUCAGUGCCACCAGAUACCAUCUUCUAUGGAGAUACCUUGGUAUUAAUUAAUGACUUCUUUAUUCUCAUUAUUCACAAGGAAAAAUAGGGGUCGUGUCACAUUAAAAUUAAGAUUAUCUUAGUUUAUCUGGGCUCUUAAACAAAGAUCAUUCAAACUAAUUAUAUUUUGAAUUAACAGAGGUAGGCAAUUUAUCGCUUAACUUUUUUUUUCAAAGACAGGAAAAUAAAGAUCAGAAAUAAGCAGAGUUUCAUUUUGAAGACAGAAAGAAGCAAACAUGUCCUGACUUUUUGCAGUAUUUCCCUUGCUAAAGGGGGAAUGAGGGAACUGCAAAAGACGUGACUUUGCAAAGUCAAGUCCUUUUUAAAAGACUGGGAUCGAAAUUCUUGCUAUGCAACAAGGAUUCAAGUUUGAUUAAUUUUCUGCAAGCGACGUGACAGCGGUGUUUUAAAAGAUUAAUUAAAAUUGAAGUGAUAUGGAGCAGGAAUUCAACCUGCAGAGGCGUCCCUGGCGCCUUGGGGGGGUGGGGUGUGUUUUGCAAGUGAGUCCCAAGCCCGAACUGCGGGCUUUCCCGAGCCUGGGACGCAAUUCCCCGUCUCCUAGAGAGGAACGCGGAAUUUGGCAGGGCGCCCGUCUGGCCGCCUGGCAUCCCGAGCUGGCCGCCAGCUCUCCGGGGUGGGGACGGGGUGUGUCCCCCGGAACCCGCUGCGGAGAGAACUGCUAGCGCGCCUUCAGACCAGCCAGUGAGGACCUGGGUCAAGCUAAGAGGCGGGAGGGGGCUCUAGGAAGCCUGGAGCUGACAGCCACCAUAGGCCGCGCCGCUACUCCAGCAGCAGCACCUACUUGGUGACACCCUGCUCGUAAGGAGCCCUUCCCCCACACCCGGCCCAGCGCAAACGUGCUGUAGUGCAGGGAGUGUGUAUGGCACUCUGCGGAGAUUCGUGCACUGGGCCGAUGCCGCGCGCUGUGGCUGCUGGGCCCAGACCCUGAGCCUGGAUAAGCAGUGCUACUUGGUCACCUCGGACCCGGGACCCGUAGCAGCCUUUUACUGUGCAGUUGUUCUUCCAUUCCCAGCAGUUUCCCGCUCUAAAUCCCCUCCCCCACAUCCUGCUCCCCGCGCUUUACUCGGUGCGACGCCUUCAUCCAAGUAAGAAAUUAAGCUGAACACAAUUGUAACUGUACUCAGGGAGACACAAUCGCCCAAGCCCUUGGGGUCACGCGCGGCAGAGAGGCGAUGCGGGUGGCACCGCCGAGGGUGGUGUGGGGAGAGCUUUCGUUUGCAAUCAGACUCUACGGAGCGCGAAAUAACACUGUCCCAUUAUCCCCACUGGGGACCUUGGGUCCUCUCUACCAGGCCGCGCGGUGCCUCGCUGCCGGGACCCUGCGCCCAAGGUCCGAGGAUGUCGGGGUUCGGACCCAAAAGGGUCCCUGGGACUUCUCAGCGCCGAGAAGUAGACAUGGUUUCUCUAGCCCCUGGCGUCAGUCUUUACCCUUCCACUUCCUGGAGACCCGAGAGGCGGCGACAUGGGAAGAGGGGAGGACAAGCCCGCCCGGAGCUGCCUAAGUCAAGGGGCAGUGGGGCGCAGGGGACUCUAAGGGCGAGGGCUGAGGAUCGGAAGCCAGGCGACAAUCCCUUCCCCUCCGCGUGCAGCAGGGGCACCUCCUCCCCGGGGAACCCACCCAGCCGCUCCCAACCUGGAGAACAAAGGGUCUGGGAAGCACGGUCGGGGUCGGAGAAGAGAGGUGGAGGGAGGCAGGAAGGCAGACGGUGGGGGCAGGGGAGGGCGCCUGCCUGCACUUCCUCUCAGAGCCGAAUGAUGGAAAGCUCCACGCAGCAAGCGCCUCACUGAGGCUGCUUCUGAAUCCAGAAGAGCUCGGGUUCCUUACCUAACGGCGGCACUCGCGCCCUUCCUCCCCUAGCGUCCCCACCCCCUCCGGGGACGAAGGCCAGGAAGCUGCGGAGCCGGCUGUGCCUUGGCGCGGGAGGAACCGCGAGGCAGCAGCGCCCCCUGCAGGUGUCUGGCGUUCCCAGACUCUUAAGGUGGAACCUUCUGAUUCUCCAUCCCGCUAGCAGCUGUGGGUGGCGGCUGGUAGUCCCCGCUCCACCCUUCGGCUCAAGUGUCCCCACAGCAAAAGGGCCUGACGGUUAUGAACCCCGGAGUCUAUCGCUUACUGCUGCUUUUUCUGGACCCUUGGCCUCACCACCUUCAGGACCUCUCCUGUGGAUGCCCUAUUAUGGAUCCCUACAAGUCACACUGAUAGUAAUUCCCUGCAGUAAGCAAAAGGUCACCAAGGGUUGACAUGCGCAUGGGAUGAGACUGGCUGGCCAAUCCCGGAGUCUUCUCACUCUCUGCAAACUCGGUGGACAGGUGCACGUGGGGGAACCACGUCUCUUGCAUCUACGGUCCCUCAGCUUCCGCGAACUCAGUUUGGAUAUUUUAUUUUUUCUUUCCUUCAAUCGACUGGUAAACGUACGAGAACUCAACGCCUCUUGGAAGUGUCCUCCACGAACUCCAGACUCUUGGAGGAAAACCUAUGAACAAGAAAGAAACAAGCAAGCAGGUUUCCGCGUGGUCCCAGUAAAUUCCUGACGGCACCUGGGAGCAUGCGGCUGCAGGCGGUCCCUAGACUCCGGCCCACCCACGACCCAGGAGCCGCGGAGUUGAGCGCCGAGGAGCGAGCGCCAGGGCUAGAAGGCGGGCUGCUGGCUUUGGGAAUUCAGAUCAUCCACACCGUGGGAACUUCCCUCCCCCUGGGCACUGAGCCUGGGCUCCGCCCCGCGGAGUGGGAGGCCGACUGUCCCCGGGGUGGGUGCUGGCGCCGGAGAAGCGGAGUCCACGCGCUAGGCAGCUGCGGGCAAGGCUCGCCUAGGCAGGUGCCGCCGGGUCAGACCCGCCCCGGGGGUUGCAAACCGCAAGCGAAAGUCGAGAAGGGCAGGAGCUUGCCCACUAAUCCGUUUUACACUGUGAAAACCGCAGGCCUGUCGCCCAAGAGGCAACUUUUUAAUUUGGAAGCACAAGGAGCAAAGAAAAAAAAAAUUAACAUGCGAGCACACUUCCUUUCCUCUUGUCCUUACCGUCAGUCCCUCUCCCCUUCUUUCAGCAAAAGCUAUCUUUCUGGUAGAAAGGGAAACUGAUCUGCACUUUGGAUUGCAGGGGAAGACUUUGGCACGUAGGGAGCGCGUCUGGGAUCCAGGCACACGCUGCAGUCCUGACUGUCAGGUUCUUCCCGGGCUUCUCACCCGCGUGCUGCGGGUCACCACAGGCCACGUGCUCCAGGCAAACCCCAUCCAGAGCUUUUUUGCUGUGAUUAGGGGGCAGAGGAUAACAUUUGGGUGUUGGCAUUCCUUGAAAGAGCGCCUGCUCGGUCGGUGGAUCUACCGGAAGGGCAGGGAUUUGCGUUGGCUGGACUGUGCAAGGGCAUGAGCAUUUACAUACGUGCAGACCAGAAGAAACAUUCACAGGCGCGUCUCUCAGCUUUCCAAGGGAAAACCACCGAAGUUAGGUGCAUCACGCAACAAAACUCGGUUUGCCGCGUGCAGGCCUGAGGUUCUUAGGCCCUUGGAGGAACGACCAGAGAAAGGAGGAGAGCAGCAAGGGGUCGAGUGGGGAACGCUGAGGGUCAAGUCCCAGGAUUUUGGUCCCUUCUUCCCACGUUCCUGUCGCAAGGGUCCUAUUUAGAAACUCUCUCCCACCGCCCAAAUAUGUGCUCUUGGCAAUAGGGAAGGAAGGCAAAAAGAAAGCCUGGAGAAUGAAUGACCUUUAUUUAAAAAGUAAAACUAAGACAAAUUACUUGGUGAAAUUGUGGAGAGGGGGGAGGGAAAGAUGGAUGGAGGCGGCUUUUCAUUUCUUUUUGUUCUUCGAAACCUAGAACACUUUUAAAAUCCAAAAUGUUAGAGAGGCAGGAAGUCUUGUAACAUGUUUGUACAAUUGAGAGGUACUGCUCAUUAAUUCAUUUCGAAAGCGUUUUCUGGGUCGAAUGAAGAUUUGAGAAGUUUCUCGGUCCCUGUGUGAAGAUCAACUCAUUUCGAAGUAAAGCAAAAGUUGGAUCAAAAUCUCAGCAGAAAAUAUAUAUCUGGUCUGUUUCUGGGACGAGAGAUAAUACAUUUAAAAGAGAUAUGUCAUGCAUUUGUGAUCCUUGCCCCCCGCCCCACGCGCCCCAUGUGUUUACCUUCUCAUAUAUGAGCCUGCACUGACCAGUACACACGCGUAGACUAGGCCUGUGUUUCGGUUUUCACUGUAGUUGGGACCUACCUACCUUGUUUCUGUCUGUGUUUGCACUUUAUUAUAGAGAUGAUUUGUGAG